rnacentral:lncRNA from 1 species
GACUUUUGACUUUGAAAUUUUCAAAAUGGCUGCCGUUGCCAUGGAAACGGUAUAAAUAUGAAAUACUUUAAAAUGUUCUGAAUAUACUGAAAAUUUACAAAAAGAUGAAUAGCCAUACAUAUUUGUGCAUUUACUGUUAAACAAGUUUGAAAUGGCUGCCGCUUAGUGGCAAUAGGGGGAAGGGUGACAUCCGCUAUUGCUUGCAAUGGCAAUUCUAGUUAUUUUUAUUAUUCUUCUUUUUCUUUUUCUUCCGCCACAUUUAAAAUGAACUUGUCCACAGCGUUUCUCCAAAACCCCUGGUCAGAUUAACUUAGGGUUUCAUAGAAAUUAGACUAAUAUGUCUAGGUGAGCCAUCGAUCUUUCGUUUGUGGAUUGGGGUCUAUUAAGGGGUAUUUUGGGGGCAGAAAGAAGAGAGGGGUUUUACUAUAGAACCCUAUGGGAUUUUUUUUUCUAAAAUUUUCAAAUGAAUAUAACUUGAAAACUAUAAGUGAUAGAUACAUGUAGUCUUCAGAAAUGAUUAAAGGACAAUAAAACAAAUCACAUGAAAUAUAGGGGUAGUCCCUGGGGGUCAUCCCCACCCCCUUCAAUUUGAGAAUAUGCUUUUAUCUUGUAAACGGUCCAGAUCCCCACCCCUAAACCUCAUAUAUUCUUGAAUGGGACAAUAAAACAAAUCAAAUGAAAUUAAAGGGAAGUCCCCGGGGGUUCUCCCCACCCCGUUCAAUUUGAAAAUGUGCUAUUAUCUUGUAAACGGUCCAGAUCCCCACCCCUUAACCAUAUAUAUUCUUGUAGGGGACAAUACAACAAAUGAAAUGAAACAAAAGGGAAGUCCCUAGGGGGUCACCCCUCCCCCUCUAGUUUGAAAACUUGUAAACGGUCCAGAUCCCCACCCCUAAACCUCAUAUAUUCUUGAAUGGGACAAUAAAACAAAUCAAAUGAAAUUAAAGGGAAGUCCCCGGGGGUCCUCCCCACCCUGUUCAAUUUGAAAAUGUGCUAUUAUCUUGUAAACGGUCCAGAUCCCCACCCCUAAACCAUAUAUAUUCUUGUAGGGGACAAUAAAACAAAUGAAAUGAAAUAAAAGGGAAGUCCCUAGGGGGUCACCCCACCCCCUCUUGUUUGAACUUGUAAACGGUCAACAUCCCCACCCCUUAACCAUAUAUAUUCUUGUAUGGGACAAUAAAACUAAUCAAAUGAAAUUAAAUGGAAGUUCCUUGGUGUCACCCCCACCCCGUUCGAUUUGAGAAUGUACUAUUAUCUUGUAAACGGUCCAGAUCCCACCCCUAAACCAUAUAUAUUCUUGUAGGGGACAAUAAAACAAAUGAAAAUGAAAUAAAAGGGAAGUCCUGAGGGGGUCACCCCACCCCCUCUUGUUUGAAAACUUGUAAACGGUCAACAUCCCCACCCCUAAACCAUAUAUAUUCUUGUAGGGGACAAUAAAACAAAUGAAAUGAUAUAAAAGGGAAGUCCCGAGGGGGUCACCCCACCCCCUCUUGUUUGAAAACUUGUAAAUGGUCAACAUCCCCACCCCUAAACCAUAUAUAUUCUUGUAUGGGACAAUAAAAC